UACGAGCAAUUUCCACUGCGUCGGGAGUAAACGGGACCUUUAAUAUCAAUGUCAAUGUCAGACCGAUUAUUUAGCCGUUAUCUACAGUCAGGUUAACUCCAUGGCAUUGGAUUUGAAAUUCAUGAAAAGACGAAUUCUUGGUCUGAGGGGUAAGGAUGCAGUGAAGUCAUGAACUUGCUUACCUCUUCUUCUGGGUUUGGAUCCUCCUGGUUCAGCCAAUUGCUGGUCCACAGCAACAUCUUUCUUUUGAAGGAUUUUUCGUAUUCCAUUUCUCUUCGUAAUGUAUAAAAAUUUCUCAAUCUUUCUUUAUCUUUGGAAAGUAACAGUCUGUCGCUUUGCUUUGUUCGUCCUCUAGAUGUCUGUUUCCAUAUUCGACGUGUGUAAACGCAAGAGGUAAACGAGGUAUAAGGCACGAAUCAUGUUUACGAUCGGUUCAAUCGCGUUUCGAACGUGAACGCGACCACAGUGUCAGUCAAAUUCAAAACCAUCUACGCGAGUGUUCGAUGCUAGUCGGGAUAAACAGAAAUAUUAUUCUACGUGCGAUGGUUGGAGGAGUGAAAGUGUGAACACAAAAGAAAUUCGCACUUCUAUUCAUACUUGGCUGGGUUUGAGUGCGGUUGUUGGAUUAUUUGUCGCAACGGAGAACAUCAUGGACACACAACGGAUGUACAAGAACUCAUAGUAUUUAUUAAAAUCAUUUUUUUUUUUACUGGUAUGUAAAAGUUACAUUUUAACGCGCGCAAGUUUCAUAGCUUACAGAUAUAAAGAUCACAUUAGUUGACUUGUAAAUUCUAGGAAAAACUAGGAACAUGAUUAUUCAGCAUCAAGUUCAAUUUCUUCUAAUUAAAUGUAUCAAGCAUCAGAAUUUUCUCGUCAAUAUUCAAUCAUCGUAGAGAAUCAUAAAACACUAGGUUCGACAUAACGCUUAACAAUUUAGUGAACGGUAUUAUCUG